rnacentral:rRNA from 1 species
ACCUACAUGAAGCUGGAAUCGCUAGUAAUCGCGGAUCAGAAUGCCGCGGUGAAUACGUUCCCGGGUCUUGUACACACCGCCCGUCACACCAUGGGAGUCGGAAAUGCCCGAAGUCUGUGACCUAACCGUAAGGAAGGAGCAGCCGAAGGCAGGUCGGAUGACUGGGGUGAAGUCGUAACAAGGUAUC